ensembl:snRNA U6 U6 spliceosomal RNA
UUGCUUCAGCAGCAUAUAUACUAAAAUUGGAAUGAUAAAGAGAAGAAUAGAAUGGCACCUGCACAAGGCUGACAAACUUGUGAAAACAACAUUCUU